rnacentral:rRNA from 1 species
GGCCUUGACAUGCAGAGAACUUUCCAGAGAUGGAUUGGUGCCGUUCGGGAACUCUGACACAGGUGCUGCAGUGGCUGUCGUCAGCUCGUGUCGUGAGAUGGUUAGGGUUAAGUCCCGUAACGAGCGCAACCCUUGUCCUUAGUUACCAGCACGUUAUGGUGGGCACUCUAAGGAGACUGCCGGUGACAAACCGGAGGAAGGUGGGGAUGACGUCAAGUCAUCAUGGCCCUUACGGCCUGGGCUACACACGUGCUACAAUGGUCGGUACAAAGGGUUGCCAAGCCGCGAGGUGGAGCUAAUCCCAUAAAACCGAUCGUAGUCCGGAUCGCAGUCUGCAACUCGACUGCGUGAAGUCGGAAUCGCUAGUAAUCGUGAAUCAGAAUGUCACGGUGAAUACGUUCCCGGGCCUU